rnacentral:rRNA from 1 species
GGGUGAGUAACACGUGGGUGAUCUGCCCUGCACUUCGGGAUAAGCUUGGGAAACUGGGUCUAAUACCGGAUAGGAGCCAUCUUUAGUGUGGUGGUUGGAAAGUUUUUCGGUGUAGGAUGAGCUCGCGGCCUAUCAGCUUGUUGGUGGGGUAAUGGCCUACCAAGGCGGCGACGGGUAGCCGACCUGAGAGGGUGUACGGCCACAUUGGGACUGAGAUACGGCCCAG